rnacentral:lncRNA from 1 species
GCUAUGCAACCCAAGAGGGGGGGGUGAAUUGGGUUUCUAAAAAUUUUAAGCUUAACUUAUGACUUAUGAAAAAUAUUUGGCAAUAGCUAAAUGAAUAUGGAGAGUUAAAUUAAUUCAGGACUAAUGACUAAAAGCAAGAAUGCAAGAAAAUAAUGAAGAGUUAAAGGAAAGCAAAUAUGCACACCACAAACAAAAGGAUUUAUAGUGGUUCAGUGCCAACCUUGCACCUACAUCCACUCCCCAAGCUCCUACUUGGGAAUUCUAAUCCACUAAUCUUGUAUUCAACCCGAAUACAAAC